rnacentral:lncRNA from 1 species
UGGUUUGAACCUAGCAUUCCCAAAAAAACUGAUUAAUCCAAUAUAUGUCUAUUUCACCCAGAUAUUAAAGAGGUCCUAAAAUGUUAUGUUUAUAUACAUUUUUCCUCACACGCGAAAGGAAAAGUCAUAAAAUUUUCACACUGCCUCGGUUAAAAAAAAAAAAAGCCUACCUUGCAAGCAGAUUAGAAUAUUACCUAGAAGGGUAAACAGAUUAAAAUAUUACCCAGAAGGAUUACCAAACAGCGACCUCGUCGUGGCCACUGUCACUCUCACCCUUCCAUUCCAAAUCUUUCAGGGAAAAUUUUUUCAAUUUUCUUGUUAGUGUUAAGAUUUCCCAUAUCAGAUACAGACAGCCGGCUUUAAAGCCACAGGCUCCAGCAGCUCCUCGCUGCCCCAACACAACUGGCUGGGGGAGCCAAGGCGCAGCAUCGCCUCCACGCUCCAAGAGGAAGACCGACUCUUCCUUUCCAACCAAGAGCAGCCCGUGGAGCAGCCCAUUGAUCUGACCUGGCUUAGCCAUGGUACAAACAAGGUAAGUGAACAAGAAAAGUUUGCUGUCUAGCUACUUUCUCCUCCCACCCAGUCUCUGAUUCAUUUUGGGGAUUUUCUACA